rnacentral:rRNA from 1 species
ACGAACGCUGGCGGCGUGCCUAAUACAUGCAAGUCGAACGAACCGCGACUAGGUGCUUGCACUUGGUCAAGGUGAGUGGCGAACGGGUGAGUAACACGUGGGUAACCUACCUCAUAGUGGGGGAUAACAGUCGGAAACGACUGCUAAUACCGCAUAGGACAUAGGAUCACAUGAUCCAGCGAGGAAAGGUGGCGCAAGCUAUCGCUAAGAGAUGGACCCGCGGUGCAUUAGCUAGUUGGUAGGGUAAAGGCCUACCAAGGCGAUGAUGCAUAGCCGACCUGAGAGGGUGAUCGGCCACAUUGGGACUGAGACACGGCCCAAACUCCUACGGGAGGCAGCAGUAGGGAAUCUUCCGCAAUGGACGCAAGUCUGACGGAGCAACGCCGCGUGAGUGAAGAAGGUCUUCGGAUCGUAAAGCUCUGUUGUUAGAGAAGAACAGCGCAUAGAGUAACUGUUAUGCGUGUGACGGUAUCUAACCAGAAAGCCACGGCUAACUACGUG